AUGGCAUCGGGCGCAACUUGCGUUCAAAGACUCGAUGGUUCACGGGAUUCUGCAAUUCACACCAAGUAUCGCAUUUCGCUACGUUCUUCAUCGAUGCAAGAGCCUAGAUAUCCGUUGCCGAGAGUCAUUCUAUAUCAUGUGUCAAAACACAACCCGCACGAAAACCGUCUCCGAUGCCAUGCAAGCAUCGACAAUGAUCCUUCCGCAGGUUCACCUACGGAAACCUUGUUACGACUUCUCCUUCCUCUAAAUGAUAAGGUUCAGUGGACUUCUCACAACGUCGCGGGCAGCGGACCGCCCACGUCGCCGCAAUCCGAACACUUCACCGGACCAUUCAAUCGGUAG
rnacentral:lncRNA from 1 species